AAUGAGCAACUGCCUAUUAUAUAAAUCUCUCAGACACUAAGGAAGAGGGGGAGGAGGAUAGAAUGAGAGAGAGAGAGAGAUUGUGGUGUAUGUGUGUGAGAGAACGGUUGAAAGAUGUGUUUGUGUGUGAGUGUGUGUUAGAGAGAGAGAGAGAGAGAGAACAAGGGAAAGAGAGAAACAGAGAUGGAGUAACGAAGAGGGAGGAGUGGAGACUGAGUUGCCCUAGCUGACUGUGUUGUGAAAAACAGCUGUGACAUUCUGCCAGAGCUUCUUAAAGAAAAUGACUGGAUUCUGACUUUUUAUUAUUAUUAUUAUUAUUCAAUCUUUAUUGAGGAAAAUGGAGACUUGGACAGAUGCACUGACAGGUUUAUACAAUUCCUGUUUAACGGCACCCUGUGGAGGACAUCACAGUCCCCCGUCACCUGACACGGCCCCUGAGAGGCCUCCUCUGCCUUUAACCUAUACAGAGUACCAGUACUACAACAGACGUCGUGGAUUCCAGCACAACCCAGUGGCACAGAACAGCCAUCACAGGGUGGAGUGGGACAGAGAGAGCCUCACAGACAGCGGGCAGAAUAGCAUAGCUCAACAGGUGUUCAAAAGAGUACAGAGAUCAAAUCAACACAACCGUCAAUAUCAGAACAACAAUGUCUUCUCAAAGGCUGACACAGCAAACAUCGAUCAGCUGUAUAAACACAGCGCUCCCAGGACGCCACCCGGAGGACAGGUUCUGUAUGAGUGGUGCAGUGACGGAUGGGCACAUGAUUCAGAGAGCUACCUCAGUGUAGAGAUGAAUUCGCCCACCAUCCCUACCCGUAAUGGCCACCCCGUGGUGGAAAUACCAGACUCCGAGUCGGAGUCGGAAUACUUCACACCCAGGAUUACCCCACGGGCACUGAGGGGCCAGGGCACGUCUCCCCGUCAGGAGAACCACAACUGGGGUAGAGGCCAGGGCACGUCUCCCCGUCAGGAGAACCACACCUGGGGUAGAGGCCAGGGCACGUCUCCCCGUCAGGAGAACCACACCUGGGGUAGAGGCCAGGGCACGUCUCCCCGUCAGGAGAACCACAC
ensembl:lncRNA